rnacentral:rRNA from 1 species
CUUAGCAGAGGAUUGGCUUUGGUGCCUUCGGGAACUCUGAGACAGGUGCUGCAUGGCUGUCGUCAGCUCGUGUUGUGAAAUGUUGGGUUAAGUCCCGCAACGAGCGCAACCCUUUAUCCUUUGUUGCCAGCGGUUAGGCCGGGAACUCAAAGGAGACUGCCAGUGAUAAACUGGGAGGAAGGUGGGGAUGACGUCAAGUCAUCAUGGCCCUUACGAGUAGGGCUACACACGUGCUACAAUGGCGCAUACAAAGAGAAGCGACCUCGCGAGAGCAAGCGGACCUCAUAAAGUGCGUCGUAGUCCGGAUUGGAGUCUGCAACUCGACUCCAUGAAGUCGGAAUCGCUAGUAAUCGUGGAUCAGAAUGCCACGGUGAAUACGUUCCCGGGCCUUGUACACACCGCCCGUCACACCAUGGGAGUGGGUUGCAAAAGAAGUAGGUAGCUUAACCUUCGGGAGGGCGCUUACCACUUUGUGAUUCAUGACUGGGGUGAAGUCGUAACAAGGUAAGCGUAGAUGA